GACGAACGCUGGCGGCGUGCUUAACACAUGCAAGUCGAACGGAAAGGCCCUGCUUUUGUGGGGUGCUCGAGUGGCGAACGGGUGAGUAACACGUGAGUAACCUGCCCUUGACUUUGGGGUAACUUCAGGAAACUGGGGCUAAUACCGGAUAGGAGCUCCUGCUGCAUGGUGGGGGUUGGAAAGUUUCGGCGGUUGGGGGUGGACUCGCGGCUUAUCAGCUUGUUGGUGGGGUAGUGGCUUACCAAGGCUUUGACGGGUAGCCGGCCUGAGAGGGUGACCGGCCACAUUGGGACUGAGAUACGGCCCAGACUCCUACGGGAGGCAGCAGUGGGGAAUAUUGCACAAUGGGCGGAAGCCUGAUGCAGCAACGCCGCGUGUGGGAUGACGGCCUUCGGGUUGUAAACCGCUUUCGCCUGUGACGAAGCGUUAGUGACGGUAAUGGGUAAAGAAGCACCGGCUAACUACGUG
rnacentral:rRNA from 1 species